GACGAGCAUGGCCAUUCGUCAAAUGCCAAUGUAUUUACUAUUUUGAGUAUAUUCUUCAUACCACGAUUCGAGACAGCCGACAGCCUCAAUGCCUUACACGUGCUCAUAGGUACCUAAAGAGCUAAGACUGCUAAGAGCAACUGAAGACCUAAUAGCAUCGUUUUUUAUUAUUUCUAUCUACAGACGAUGGAACACCCGCAUGCAAGAAGUCAUCUAUUCGUCUGCCUUUAAUCCACGUCCAGUGAAAUGUUAUGUUGUCCGGAUGUUCCUUGCGUUUACCGGAUACUGUUGUGAUUUUGUGUUGUUCUUGUUCAACGUCUUAGAAUACUUCAUGUUGAAUAAUUUAACCGACAGCAGCUUUGGCUGAUUAGUCAAAUGCACAUGGGACCUGUACUUUUUAUUGUAUUAAUAAGGUUUUAAUAUCCAAGUUUUCAUGUAUAUUUUGGGUGAGAUUAAAUCCGUCAUUAAAUACAGUCAUAUUGACAUUAUUUUUCAAUAUUGAAAACACUUACCACCCUUACAACAAAAUUUGCAGUGUACUAUACAAGGUUCAACCGUUAAGUUUCUUAAAAAUAUCACUACAAGUAUGUAUGCAUAGUGGGUACCUGCAUAAUAUAAUAUUAAUAUCAGCAAUAAUAAUGAUUCAGAAAAUACCUACAUUUCCUAGAGAGUGUUUAAAAUGCAUUGCCAACGAUUGUCAUGCACCAUUCAUUAGUGCAACAUUGUUAUGGUUUAUUAAGAAUUUUCAUAAUUAUAAACAUUGUUUAUGAAUUAUGUAGGUAUAUUAUUUAAACUGUGAUACACAGUCAUAAAACUCAUUAAAAAACAUUAAUUUUUAAAGAUUAACAAUAUUCCCUUGAUACCAUCAUAAUAAAAAACCUACAGAAUUUGAAUUGUUCAAUACUUAAAAAACUACUUAAAGUUCAUUACUUAACCCUUGUGAUAUAUAACAGGGAUUAUCUAUAUUUUUAAAAAAUGUAUGCAGUAGGUACCUAUAACUAUAAAUCAUACAUUGUAUGGUUUAUACAAUUAUGCCUUUAACACCUUUAAAUACCUCGUAAAGAUUUUAAUAGUUAUCAGUUAUUGUGUAAAAAACUAAAUUAAAUUAAUUAUAUCUGGCUUGAAAUAAGAAAAUAUAUACCUCUGCUUUACAACAAUUACACACAAUUUUUAGUGUAUACUAUGAAAAAUUAUUAAAAAUGUAUACUGUUUGCAAACUAAUUAAACAUUCCGCAUUAUUAUGUUCAGAUCAGAAUCUGCCUUAAAAUAUUGUAUCUGAAUUGUUGAUUUAUUUUAUUUUUAGUUGAUGUUGAUAUUACUGAUUGGAAUUGUUAAUCAUCUCAAAUGAUUGCUAUUCACUGUA